rnacentral:rRNA from 1 species
AUGUGAUCGUCUCUCGCAUAUCAAUAAGCGGAGGAAAAGAAACUAACAAGGAUUCCCCUAGUAACGGCGAGUGAAGCGGGAAGAGCUCAAAUUUGAAAUCUUAAAGGGUUUCCCUUUACGAAUUGUAGUUUAAAGAAGUGUUUUCUGUUGAGGUUUUGGUAAAAGUUCUUUGGAAUAGGACAUCAUAGAGGGUGAGAAUCCCGUAUUUGACCUUUACUUUCAACUUUGUGAUACACUUUCAAAGAGUCGGAUUGUUUGGGAAUGCAGUCCAAAAUGGGUGGUAAAUUUCAUCUAAAGCUAAAUAUUGGCGAGAGACCGAUAGCGAACAAGUACCGUGAGGGAAAGAUGAAAAGAACUUUGAAAAGAGAGUUAAACAGUACGUGAAAUUGUCAAAAGGGAAGCGUUUGACACCAGUGUUGUUUUUCUGAAAAUCAAUUAAAGAACUGUUUAUGCUAAGCUGUUUAGACUUUAUCAGCUAAUCUGUUUAGUUUUGAGCUUUUCUUUAAUGCACUUUUCAGUUAACAAGUCAACAUCAAUUUCUUUUGCUGUAAAAAAGCUUGAGGAAGGUGGCUUGAGAUUCGUCUUAAGUGUUUAUAGCCUCUUGCCUAUGCAGUCGGAGAGAUUGAGGUCUGCAGCGUAGAUCCUUCGGGGCUAAAUGCAUUUGUGCUAAGUUAUAGCAUUUUAUAGACAACUUGUUGACUAUGAUUUGUCUUGUAGCUUACUCGCUUAUGUUAUUUUACCUACGCUUAGGAUGUUGAGCGCAUGUCUCUCUCU